rnacentral:tRNA from 1 species
GAGGGUAUAGCUCAAGUGGCAGAGCACAUGCCUAGCAUGCCUGAGGUCCUGGGUUUAAUCCCCAGUACCUCCA